rnacentral:rRNA from 1 species
CGCGUAGGCGGCUUUGGUAAGUCAAAGGUGAAAUCCCUCGGCUCAACUGAGGAACUGCCUUUGAAACUGCCUGGCUUGAGGCCGGGAGGGGGUAGCGGAAUUCCCAAUGUAGCGGUGAAAUGCGUAGAUAAUUGGGAGGAACACCGGUAGGCGAAGGCGGCUACCUGGACCGGUUCUGACGCUGAUGCGCGAAAGCGUGGGGAGCAAACAGGAUUAGAUACCCUGGUAGUCCACGCUGUAAACGAUGGGUACUCGGUGUCGUGGGUAUCGACCCCUACGGUGCCUUAGCUAACGCGUUAAGUACCCCGCCUGGGGAGUACGGUCGCAAGGCUGAA